AAUGAGACCAGUCUCACUAAUCUGAAAUUUCUUCUUCUUUGCUUCGAAGCUCUUUCGGGUCUUAAAAUUAACUUCUCUAAGAGCGAGGUCAUUGUGACUGGGGUUUCUGAUUUGGAAGCACAACGGGUUGCACAUCUUCUGAACUGCUCCCUAGGAUCUUACCCUCUCAAAUACUUGGGCUUACCUAUUUCCCCGUUUAAGCUCUUGGCAAAAGAUUUUGCCCCGGUUGUCGCUAAAGUUUGCAAUAGAGUUCUUCCUUGGAGAGGUCGUUAUAACACGCAGGCGGGCAAGGUUGCCCUAACCAACUCGUGCCUCUCUUCUUUUCCGAUGUUCCUUAUGAGUUUCUACCUUAUGUCCGGCGGGAUUCACUCGGGUUUCGACAAGCAUAGGGGUGCCUUUUACUGGAACUCCGCCGACAAUAAACGCAAAUAUAGAUUGGUUAGAUGGAACCUCAUUUGUCGUCCUAAGGACAAAGGGGGUCUUGGCAUUAUUAAUACACGAGUCAUGAAC
rnacentral:rRNA from 1 species